CUCGAACACGAUACAGUAUUCCGUCUCUGAAGAAGUGGGGCUGACUCCCACGAAACGGGUCAUACUAAACAAGCAGGUUACAGAUUCCACCUAUGUUCCAGCCAGUGGAGUAACAACUUGACCACGAAACCUCUACAGUCCCGGACCGGGAGGUCUGCAAUAUUCACCUCUCAGAGCGAGGUCUGAGACGCACGCCGUCUUUACCGGCAGCUGGAAAGAGGAAAGUGUUUACACCAUCCGCAGCCAUCCAAACCGGUCCUUGAGGCUGACUCCUAUCACUCACAUCCACUGUGCUGGUAAC